rnacentral:rRNA from 1 species
UGCGCCCGCUAGUACUCUAGCGGGCAUGCCUGUUCGAGCGUCAUUUCAACCCUCAAGCUCCGCUUGGUGUUGGGGCCCUACGGCUGCCGUAGGCCCUGAAAGGAAGUGGCGGGCUCGCUGCAACUCCGAGCGUAGUAGAAUCCUAUCUCGCUAGGGAGGCGCCGCGCGCUCCUGCCGUUAAAGACCCCAUCUUUAACCAAAGGUUGACCUCGGAUCAGGUAGGAAUACCCGCUGAACUUAAGCAUAUCAAUAAGCGGAGGAAAAGAAACCAACAGGGAUUGCCCCAGUAACGGCGAGUGAAGCGGCAACAGCUCAAAUUUGAAAUCUGGCUCCGGCCCGAGUUGUAAUUUGUAGAGGAUGCUUUCGGUGAGGUGCCUUCUGAGUUCCCUGGAACGGGACGCCAGAGAGGGUGAGAGCCCCGUAUAGUCGGCCACCGAUCCUUUGUAAAGCUCCUUCGACGAGUCGAGUAGUUUGGGAAUGCUGCUCUAAAUGGGAGGUAUAUCUCUUCUAAAGCUAAAUAUAGGCCAGAGACCGAUAGCGCACAAGUAGAGUGAUCGAAAGAUGAAAAGCACUUUGAAAAGAGGGUUAAAUAGCACGUGAAAUUGUUGAAAGGGAAGCGCUUGUGACCAGACUUGUGCCGGGCUGAUCAUCCAGUGUUCUCACUGGUGCACUCGACCCGGCUCAGGCCAGCGUCGGUUCUCGCAGGGGGACAAAAGCUUCGGGAACGUGGCUCCUCCGGG